GUGGGGAAUCUUCCGCAAUGGACGAAAGUCUGACGGAGCAACGCCGCGUGAGUGAUGAAGGUCUUCGGAUUGUAAAGCUCUGUUAAUCGGGACGAAAGAGCCUAGUGUGAAUAAUGCUAGGAAGUGACGGUACCGGAAUAGAAAGCCACGGCUAACUACGUGCCAGCAGCCGCGGUAAUACGUAGGUGGCAAGCGUUGUCCGGAAUUAUUGGGCGUAAAGCGCGCGCAGGCGGAUCUGCCAGUCUGUCUUAAAAGUUCGGGGCUUAACCCCGUGAUGGGAUGGAAACUACAGGUCUAGAGUAUCGGAGAGGAAAGUGGAAUUCCUAGUGUAGCGGUGAAAUGCGUAGAUAUUAGGAAGAACACCAGUGGCGAAGGCGACUUUCUGGACGAAAACUGACGCUGAGGCGCGAAAGCCAGGGGAGCGAACGGGAUUAGAUACCCUGGUAGUCC
rnacentral:rRNA from 1 species